UGAUUCAACUAAUUCAACUGAGGUCAACACUACAAGUCCGCAGAAAAAUCCCUGGGCUCAACAGUGAGAUGAUAUGUCCACGUCACCAACCUGUUUGAUGGACAGCUUUUUAUCACACUGCAGUAAAGACCUGUGCAGCUACUCCUCCCAAGACAGAGCUGGUGAGUGCUUGUCAACAAAUCUAAAGGGAGACUUGUUUUCAGGAGUUAAUACAGGAGAAAAGUGAGAUGGGGGUAUGUGGUGGA